ensembl:lncRNA
GGUAGCAGAAGGAACGAGUGAAGCAGAGAUCCUAGAUUCCAAGUCUGGCUGCCAACUUUAUUUCAGGGCAAGUGGAAGGCUUGGUUAGGUAUAUGAACCUGUAGACUCUGGCAGAAAGGAUGAGGGAAGGAGAUACAAACUUAGAAUCUAAGAAGAAAUGCCCCGAACUUAACCAUCUUCUCUUCCAGGGCCUGCUCCCUUCUUUUUUUUUUUUUUUUUUUUUUUUUGCCUGCUCCCUUCUUAUCUUGAUGAUAUCCUGCCUGGGGCCCAGCACCAUAAAGAGGCCUGGGCCAGAGGCAUGUGGCAGGGCUCAUUGAGAGUCCUUCAGCUUCCAGAAGCUCCGUGAGUCCAACUUGGGGUGAAGCCCAGGGCAGCAGUUUGAGGGUUCCACAUAAGGGGCAGUUAUUCCCCCUAACCCAUAACAAGGACCUAAGCUGUGCCUGACCUUAGCCGUCACUCUUUGUAGCAACUGCCCCUUAUUGCUGGUACUGGCAGGGAAGGCUUCCAAGGCCCAUACCGGCUCCUUGCCUUGGAUCAUGACUCAGUUGCUCUUUGGAAAUAGUUACAACAGCCUGUUGCUUCACUUGGAUUUCUGAGGUAUGAAGGAGGGAAGGAAGGGACAGAAAAAAAGACAGGAAAUGAGACUUAAUCCUUUCUGGGGAGAGUCACCAGGAAGUUCAUCUCCCAAAUCCUGCUUCGGCCUCUGCAUUGGCUCCUCAUCUAGGCUUCUUACUCAGGGCUAGUCUGGUGGAAAGAGGCUGCUCAGUGUGAUUCUUGGCUUGAGAGGUUGGGAGGAGGGGACAGGAUUAUUCUUUGACUAUAUCAAAGCCCCACACUCCCCCCCCCCCCCUCACCUAAAGUGGCCCCACUGCCUGCCUGUUUUCUUUGGCAGGUGUCCCCUUGGGUCUGCUCCUGGCCUCGCUAGCAGGGGCCAAAGGAGUUUGGGACCCCCGCCAGGAGAAGCAGAUUUCUCCCACACUGUGGGAUGCUUUGGAAGAAAUCCACACCCGCUAUGCCACUGUUCAGGACCUGUGUUCUGGGCUCUCUGGAACGGCUCUACAGGAGAGCCAGCUUACUCAGCUGAGCCUGGUGCUCAGGGAAUUAAAGGUACUGAAAAACCAAAGCCGGAGCUGGGAGACCAGGAUGCUCAAGGGAGUUGGAGCUUCUGUAACCAGGCUUCCAAACCUGCAGGUAUCUGGUUCCAGUUCCCUCUACCUUGAGAUGGGCAGUUCAUCACAAUGCACACAAGUUGGCUCUGGGGCACGGGCUCUUCAUUCUUCUUACAGCAUCCUUUCACAAUGCACUUGAUUCCAAAGCUAGUACAGAACUAGAAGUAGGCAAGAGGACAAACAACCACUAGGAAUACAAAGAGGAACACUUUACUGUGGCUUUUUUAAAAUGGUCUAUUUUCUUUCUUUCUUUUUUAUUAUAAUAACUUUUUAUUGACAGAACUCAUGCCAGGGUAAUUUUUUACAGCAUUAUCCCUUGCACUCACUUCUGUUCCAAUUUUUCCUCUCUCUCCCUCCACCCCCUCCCCUAGAUGGCAAGCAGUCCUAUAUAUGUUAAAUAUGUUGUAGUAUAUCUUAGAUAUAAUAUAUGUGUACAGAACCGAACAGUUCUCUUGUUGCACAGGGAGAAUUGGAUUCAGAAGGCAAAAAUAACCCAGGAAGAAAAACAAAAAUGCAGUUUAUAUUAAUUUCCCAGUGUUCUUUCUUUGGGUGUAGCUGCUUCUGUCCAUCAUUGAUCAAUUGAAACCGAGUUCGAUCUUCUCUUUGUCAAAGAAAUCAAUUUCCAUCAGAAUACAUCUUCCUACAGUAUUGUUGUUGAGGUAUAUAAUGAUCUCUUGGUUCUGCUCAUUUCAUUUAGCAUUAGUUCAUUUAAGUCUCACCAAUCCUCU